CGAGGGGUAACAGAUCUUCGGAUGCUGACGACCGGCGAACGGGUGAGUAACACGUAUGCAACUUACCCAUAACUCGGGAAUAGCCCAAAGAAAUUUGGAUUAAUACCCAAUAAUACAGGCGUACCGCAUGGUAUUCUUCGUUAAAGAAUAAUCGGUUAUGGAUAGGCAUGCGUUCUAUUAGGUAGUUGGUGAGGUAACGGCUCACCAAGCCGACGAUGGAUAGGGGAACUGAGAGGUUGUCCCCCCACACUGGUACUGAGACACGGACCAGACUCCUACGGGAGGCAGCAGUGAGGAAUAUUGGUCAAUGGACGAAAGUCUGAACCAGCCAAAUCGCGUGAAGGAAGAAGGUAUUAUGUAUCGUAAACUUCUUUUGUAAGAGAGUAAAGUGCACUACGUGUAGUGUAUUGCAAGUACCUUACGAAUAAGCAUCGGCUAAUUCCGUGCCAGCAGCCGCGGUAAUACGGAAGAUGCAAGUGUUAUCCGGAUUUAUUGGGUUUAAAGGGUGCGUAGGUGGUCUAAUAAGUCAGUGGUGAAAUCUCUUUGCUUAACAAGGAAAUUGCCAUUGAAACUGUUAGACUUGAGAAUGGACGAGGUAGGCGGAAUUCGUAGUGUAGCGGUGAAAUGCAUAGAUAUUACGAAGAACUCCAAUAGUGUAGACUGCUUACCAGACCAUAUCUGACACUAAGGCACGAAAGUGUGGGUAUCAAACAGGAUUAGAUACCCUGGUAGUCCACACAGUAAACGAUGAAUACUAACUGUUUGCGAUAUACAGCAAGUGGUCGAGCGAAAGCGUUAAGUAUUCCACCUGGGAAGUAUGCCGGCAACGGUGAAACUCAAAGGAAUUGACGGGGGCCCGCACAAGCGGAGGAACAUGUGGUUUAAUUCGAUAAUACGCGAGGAACCUUACCCGGGCUC
rnacentral:rRNA from 1 species